NNAGGUGAUUCUAGCGAAGUGGUCCCACCCGUUCCCAUCCCGAACACGGCAGUGAAACGCUUCAGCGCCGACGAUACUGCUCGGGCAACUGGGUGGGAAAAUAGGUCAUCGCCCACU
rnacentral:rRNA from 1 species